rnacentral:rRNA from 1 species
UUGAACGCUGGCGGAAUGCUUUACACAUGCAAGUCGAGCGGCAGCGCGGGGGCAACCCUGGCGGCGAGCGGCGAACGGGUGAGUAAUGUAUCGGAACGUACCCUGUCGUGGGGGAUAACACAGCGAAAGCUUUGCUAAUACCGCAUACGAUCUACGGAUGAAAGCAGGGGACCGCAAGGCCUUGCGCUCAUGGAGCGGCCGAUGGCAGAUUAGGUAGUUGGUGGGAUAAAAGCUUACCAAGCCGACGAUCUGUAGCUGGUCUGAGAGGACGACCAGCCACACUGGGACUGAGACACGGCCCAGACUCCUACGGGAGGCAGCAGUGGGGAAUUUUGGACAAUGGGCGCAAGCCUGAUCCAGCCAUGCCGCGUGCAGGAUGAAGGCCUUCGGGUUGUAAACUGCUUUUGUACGGAACGAAAAGACUCCUUCUAAUAAAGGGGGUCCAUGACGGUACCGUAAGAAUAAGCACCGGCUAACUACGU